rnacentral:lncRNA from 10 species
UCGUCCUUCCUAAAAUAUAGUUCCAGUCCCCUGAAUACUCAUGAGAUGAUAGAUUUCAUUUCAGUCUUGGACCGAAUAAAUGAAUUUAGAAAAGUUUGCAGGAUUCAAAAUCGAUGAUCAAAAAUCAGUUGCAUUUUCUAUACAUUAACAAGACCAAUCUGGAAAGAAAAUUAAGAAAAUAAUUCUGUUAACAAUAGCCUCAAGAAGGAUUAAAUACUUAGGAAAAAACUUAACCCAGGAGAUAAAAGACUUAUACACUGAGAACUACAAAACAUUGCAAAAAGAAAUCAAAGAAGAUACAAGUAAAUGGAAAGACAUCCCAUGCUCAUGGGUUGAAAGACUUAAUAUUGUAAAGUUGUCCAUAAUACCCAAAGCAACCUACAGAUACAAUGCAAACUCUAUAAAAAUUCCAAUGACACUUUUUGCAUAAACAGAAAAAUAAUUAUAAAAUUCUACAGGAUCUUAAGGGGCCCAAAAGAGCCAAAACAAUCUUGAAAAAGAACAAAGUCAGAGGCAUCACACUUCUUGAUUUCAAAACCUACUGCAAAGAAACAGUAAUUAAGACAGUGUGGUAUGGCCUAAAGUAAGAUACAUAAACCAACGGAGUAAAAUAGAGAGCCCAGAAAUAAACCACUGCAUAUAUGACCAAAUGAUUUUCAGCAAGAGUGCCAAGACCACACAACAGAGAAAAGACAGCCUCUUCAACAAGUAGUGUUGGAAAAAUAGGAUAUUCAAAUGCAAAAAGAGUGAAUUUGGGCCCUUGCCUUGUACCAUACAUAAAAAUUAACUCAAAAUGAAUUAAAGACCUAAAAAUUAGACUUAAAACUGUUAAACUCCUAGAAAGAAACAUAGGGGUAAAGCCUCAGGACUUUGAAUUUAGCAAUGAUUUCUUAAAUAUGACACCAAAAGCACAGACAACGAAAUCAAAAAUAAACAAAUGGAAUGACACAAAAACUUUUUCAUGUCAAAGGAAACAAUCAACAGAGUGAAAUUGCAACCUAUAAAAUGGGAGAAAAUAAUUGCAAAUAAUAUAUCUGAAAAGGGGUUAAUAUCCAAAAUAUAUAAGAAACUUUAACAACAACAAAAAAAUUGAUUCUAAAAUAGGCAAAGAACUUAAACUGACAUUUCUCCAAAGAAGAUAUACAAAUGGCCCAUAAGCACUUGAAAAGAUGAUAACAUUACUAAUCAUUAGAAGAGUGCAAAUAAAAACCACAAUGAAAUAUCACCUCAUACUCAUCAGGAUGGUCACCAUCAAAAGAGCGUAAAAUACCAAGCAUUGGUGAAGAUGUAGAGAAGAUGGAACCCUUGUGUAUUAUUGGUGGGAAUGUAAAAUGAUGCAGCCAUUACAGAAAAUAGCAUGGAGGUUCCUCCAAAAAUUCAAAAUAGAAUUACUAUAUGAUCCAACAAUCCCAUUUGUGGGUAUAUAUCCAAAAGAAUUCAGAAAAGGAUCUUGAAGAGAUACUUGGACACCCAUUCCUUGUGGCAUUAUUCUCAAUAGCCAAGAGAUAGAAGCAGUCCAAAUGUCCAUCAACAGAUGAAUAAGUAAGGAAAAUGUAAAUAUAUACAAUGGGAUAUUAUGCAGCCUUAAAAAAAAAAAAGAAAAUCUUGUCACAUGCUACAAUAAGAAUGAAACUCGAGGACAUUACGUUAAGUGAAAUAGUCACAAAAUGACAAACACUGUAUGAUUCCAUUCAUAUGAAGUAUCUAAAGUGGUCAAAUUCAUAGAAACAGAAAGUAGAAUGGUAAUUUCCAGGGUCUGAGGAGAAGGAGAAAUGGGGAGUUGUUUCAUGAGUAGAGAGUUUCAGUGUAACAAGACGAAAAAGUUGUAGCAAUCUGCUGCACAACAAUGUGAGUAUAUUUAACACUACUGAACCCUACACUUAAAAAUGGUUGAGAUGGUAAAUUUAAUGUUAUGUGCUUUUUACCAUAAUUUUUAAAAAUCUAAAACCAAGCCCAAAGAAUUACUUAAGCACAUGCAAUAUAGUAUGAAAAAAAUUGGAAGAGUUCAUUGUGAUUUUAAGUCAAACUUUACAUUUCUGGAGGUAAUAAGACUUGAGGUGAUCACUAACAUAUCUCUAACAAUCUCAACGUGGAAUAGGGAGUAGUAAAAGUAAACAAUGAAAUAAUGAUCAUGUUAUGUUACUGGAGUCCCUUUUUGCCUUGGCUGCUGGGAGGCUUAGAAAUAAUUAUUAGUACUCGCUUUCAAUGAAUGUAUUAGCCUAGGUUUGGGUGGCAUAUUUAUUUCCCUCUCCCUGUAAAAGCAUUCAAAUUAUUAUCUAAUUGCAUAUAUCUUUCCUUAUAAACAUUAUAUCUUUUAUGGAGACAGUCAGGGUGUAAAUUAUAGAUAAAUUGAGAAAUAUCAAUGGUUGUGGAGCAAGAGAGCUGGAAUCUGAACAAAUGCUUAAUGAAACACAGACCUGACUAUAUCCAAGUCCUAAAAUGCAUGUUUUUUGAAGAGGGUUUAUGAUGAAGUUGAUGUAACUGACCCAUAAAAGAGAGGGUUAACAUUCUACUAAUACAAUGACAUC